rnacentral:rRNA from 1 species
GACGAACGCUGGCGGCGUGCUUAACACAUGCAAGUCGAACGGAAAGGCCCUGCUUGCAGGGUACUCGAGUGGCGAACGGGUGAGUAACACGUGGGUGAUCUGCCCUGCACUUCGGGAUAAGCCUGGGAAACUGGGUCUGAUACCGGAUAGGAGCCAUUUUUAGUGUGAUGGUUGGAAAGUUUUUUCGGUGUAGGAUGAGCUCGCGGCCUAUCAGCUUGUUGGUGGGGUAAUGGCCUACCAAGGCGGCGACGGGUAGCCGGCCUGAGAGGGUGGACGGCCACAUUGGGACUGAGAUACGGCCCAGACUCCUACGGGAGGCAGCAGUGGGGAAUAUUGCACAAUGGGCGCAAGCCUGAUGCAGCGACGCCGCGUGGGGGAUGACGGCCUUCGGGUUGUAAACUCCUUUCGCUAGGGACGAAGCUUUUUGUGACGGUACCUAGAGAAGAAGCACCGGCUAACUACGUG